rnacentral:rRNA from 1 species
UACAGAGGUCUCAAGCGUUGUUCGGAUUCAUUGGGCGUAAAGGGUGUGUAGGUGGCGCGCUAAGUCGGGUGUGAAAUCUCGGAGCUUAACUCCGAAACUGCAUUCGAUACUGCCGUGCUUGAGGACUGGAGAGGAGACUGGAAUUUACGGUGUAGCGGUGAAAUGCGUAGAUAUCGUAAGGAAGACCAGUGGCGAAGGCGGGUCUCUGGACAGUUCCUGACGCUGAGGCACGAAGGCCAGGGGAGCAAACGGG